CUCUAGGAGAUGACACCUAGCUACGCCACUCAUCUUAGUGAUUCUUAUCAAUUAUCCAUCAUCUUAAUUUUACCCAUUACCAUAACAAAAGAAGUCCAUAUCUCUCAUUUCUCUUUGCUCAUAUACGACCAAGUAUGCCCAUAACCACCAUCAAGCUUAUUUCCUUUACUAUUAUUAAAUUAAUAAAUAUUGGCCUCUGAAGAUGAGUUCUAUCUAGAGAAAUUUCUUAAGAGAAGCUAGAGCAAAGUUCUCAAGGUACCCAUUUGCCAAGUGAAACUGGUACACCAGUUAUGGAUUUGUUUACCUGGUUGGGUCGGUUCCGUGUCACCUUAAUUUUCAUGACAUAAGGGAUAUCGGACGCCAAAUUUUAUGUUUUUCAGGUCAGAAAGUACAUACACAUCUAGAUGUAAAGGUGAUGCAAUUUUUCCUAGCGACGUACUGGGCGUAAGUACGGGAGUCAGUGAUAUAUGAUGAGUACCGAGUGUAGGUACGGGCUCACCUGAUUAGGUGAUGCGAUUUUCGUGGCGACGUACUGGGCGUAAGUACGGGCGUCAGUUACAUGAUAAGUAACGGGCGCAUGUACGAGCUCGUCUAAUUAAACGAUGCGAUAUAUUGGUGCAAAAUUGUGCCACGGGCUCACCUGAUUAGGUGAUGCAAUUAUAUGAUAUAUGGGUGCAGGUUUUUGGCAUAGGCUCACCUGAUUAGGCGAUGCAGUUAUGCGACAUAUGGGUGCCAGGCUAUGGCACAAGCUUGCCUGAUUAGGCGAUACAAUACAAGAUCAUCAGAUUAAAACAUCAACUUGCCUGAUUAGGCAACAUGAUGUCAUGAAGAUGGUUGCUUUAUGAGGUAAAGACAAAGAAAAGCUAGACCAACCUUGGGGUGACAAUCUUCUCCAGCAAUGUACAUAUUGACCUCGUCGGCCUGCGACCGGGUUUCCAGGAGUUGUUUUGGGUUGUAUUUAUUGUGUAUUUCGGUUUUAUGUUUUUGAGGCAUCAUCGUAUAUAGUUCUUUUGUAAAACUUUUUAUAACAGGGAUCCGCGGAACAUGCUUUUUAAGACGUUAUAAUGUCCGUUUUUAGUGUUUUAUUUUAGUCAAGUUUUUAAUAUUA